AUUUCUCCAAAAAGAAUUUAUUCUUUGCGGGUCCUUGGGCUUGGUGAUUGCAUAGCCUCUUUGUAUCACCUUGCCUUAAAUGUAUGAGUGGAUGAGUGUCAGCCAUAGAUUUUUGUUAAGGCAAACCCAUAAAAAUCUUGUGCUUUUGUCAUCUGCUUCCAACUGAACAAGCAUACACCAGUGUGUCUUGAUUUUUUCACUUCU
rnacentral:misc_RNA from 1 species